rnacentral:rRNA from 1 species
UACGUAGGGUGCAGGCGUUAAUCGGAAUUACUGGGCGUAAAGCGUGCGCAGGCGGCUCCUUAAGUCAGAUGUGAAAUCCCCGGGCUUAACCUGGGAACUGCGUUUGAAACUGGGGAGCUCGAGUGUGGAAGAGGGGGGUGGAAUUCCAGGUGUAGCAGUGAAAUGCGUAGAGAUCUGGAGGAACACCGAUGGCGAAGGCAGCCCCCUGGGCUAACACUGACGCUCAUGCACGAAAGCGUGGGGAGCAAACAGGAUUAGAUACC